AUUAAUUAAAUAAUUAAUUUUUCAAAAAACCCAACACAUCAUCACAUUUACAUGUACAACAUGUUAGUUUUUUACUUGAUGAACAAAUAAACCAGAUUGAAAAUUUUUGUGAUACAAGUGUCACUUUGAAGGUUUAAAGUGUCACUAGAAGUCACUUUUAAAGUUUUUUAUGCGAUUUAUCCGUUAAAGAUUUUAUUAAAUCAAAUGGUUAUGUUGCUUUGGUUUUAAACCAAACUGAACCAAAAAAACCAAAGUGUUUUUUAAUUAGAUUAACUAAAUAUACGCUAACAAAGAAAAACUAAAUAUACUAAUAAUAUUAAAAUUUAAGAUAUUUAACCUAAACAACUAAACAUAAAUUUGUAUAUUUUUCUUAUAAAUGAAUAGAAAAAGACAACCAAAAUAAAAUAAAAGAAUAUGAAUGUUAUGCUCUAACAUCAAAACCGAAAACUAUCUAUUAUAUUUAUGUCUGUUUGAAGAUAAUAAUAUAAAAUUAUUAGAUUAUAUUCUAUAUUUUUAUCAGAUGUUUAGAUUUACGUUUAAAUACGAAUAAAAAAAAUAAUUUAGUGUGAUGAUUUGUUUUAAAAAUUAUAUUUUUGUAACCGAUUUAAAACAAAACUAAAAGAUCAACUUGAUUUAACUAAACAAACAAAAAAGAAACAAACUACCUUGAACUGAACGCAAACGAAACUAAACUAUAACCAAACCAAAUACAAACCAAACUGAACUAAAUCUGAAUUAAAACGAAUACAAACUAUACCAAAUUGAUUUUGGUUAAAUUUUUCUUAAAUCCAAAUAAAUCAAACCAAGCCGAAUCUAACCCAAACUAAACCUGAAUUUAAACCAAAAUGGGUAAACCGCCAAUCUACAUGUUUGUGUUAAAUGAUAGAUGAUUCAACCGAGAGAGAUGGUUAAAACUACACCGGGAAAAAAAACUCAAACCAAAACCUUCCGCGCAAAUCAGAGGUAUCACUCACUAUCACAGCAGCAAGCAUCUCUUCCCCAUCUUCUCUGGUUGCUUCUUCCAAACUGAAGCAUCCACUAAUUGACGUUACUGACGAAGAGAAAUUUGCUCAUUCUCGAUUACAAAGUCACCAAAGUAUCCACCCCUUCACCUUCCCGAAGUUGGCUCAUUUACUCGUACGACAUCGUUUUUUAACCUCCCAUCACUCGUUCAAGUCGUUGCCUCAUGGAUCUCUUCUUCCUCACUGGAAAUAGUUGCGGAAUGUUUGUAGUCACUGGUGUUGGAUCUUCACUUGCUGUUCUCUUAGCUACUACUUCUCAAUUUCCAGGAAAGGCGCAAUCCAUUGCAUUGUUUAUGUGUGGGUUUGGAUCACAAUGAUAAUGAAGAGAGUGAAAGAAUCAUUAGCAGCUUUGAUGAAACUAAAGGCAUCGACGGAAGCGCCUGGCUUACGCCCCGGAGCUCCGCUGGAGGAGGACCUCGACCAACCAACCUAACUAUCUCGACUCGGAGACAAAAGCUCCGCCAUACCAACACUGCGCACAAGGAAGCACGAGUUACGGUCAAGCGUAGGCGGUACAACUGACUCCAAAAACCGCCCACGCGACACACAAGAUGCAGCAGAAACCAUGCUUUUAAGCAUGAGCCUCAGAUCAUAUGCUAUAUGAGUUGAGCCUUAGCUGUCCAACUCUGAUCAUGAACAUGUAACUUGCAGUUAAGUUGUUCAGAUAACUGAAGAGGAAGAACUGGCAGAUGAGUUGUGUACUAGACGAGAGUAUGCUAGAUGGCUAGUUCGUUCAAACAUUUUUAUUAGAGAGGUAAUGAAUGCUACUUCUGCAGAUCCUGACUUCGAGUACAUACAAGCUUUGGCAGAGGCAGGCAUAACGUUAUCGGGGGAAGAUACUAACAUUAAUUUUUAUCCUGAGAGAGAGGUAUAUAAAGAGGAUAUAAGCUUAUUACUUCAUCUGCUAUUGUUUUUGUUUUUCAUUGAUGUCUUAUUGUUUCAACAUUUAUGGUUCCUCCAGUUUUGUUACCCGGCUCCGAUUUGAUUAACUGGAAAGCUCAAUUGUAUUGUAAUUCAGUCCUGGUUUUAAAAUUUGAAACAAACCAAUCUUUGGUUUCAAAAGAGUAAUAAAGUUGAGAAUAAUCACACUACAGAAUCCAUUUUGAUACUAUUCCCACUCACAAAAUGUCUCCCAAAAUUCAAAAUUUGAAGAGCGAUUUACAGAACAUAAACCGUUAAAUGGAAUGGAAUCUUCACGACAUUGUCAACUAUCAAAAGCCCACCAGUCGACAUUAUCAGCAACCAAAGGGACAGAUCUAUUCUUCUUCUUCUUCUUUGUCUUCCUUCCCUAAUCUGAAACCUGGUAAG